ACUCCUACGGGAGGCAGCAGUGGGGAAUAUUGCACAAUGGGCGCAAGCCUGAUGCAGCAACGCCGUGUGAGUGAAGAAGGUUUUCGGAUCGUAAAACUCUGUCCUAAAGGGAAAGAAAAAAUGACGGUACCUUAGGAGGAACGCCCCGGCUAACUACGUGCCAGCAGCCGCGGUAAUACGUAGGGGGCAAGCGUUAUCCGGAAUCACUGGGCGUAAAGGGUGCGUAGGCGGCUUAGCAAGCCAGGGGUGAAAGGCAUUGGCUCAACCAAUGUAAGCCUUUGGAACUGUUAAGCUUGAGUGCAGGAGAGGUAAGUGGAAUUUCCUAGUGUAGAGGUGAAAUUCGUAGAUAUUAGGAGGAACACCAGUGGCGAAGGCGACUUACUGGACUGUAACUGACGCUGAUGCACGAAAGCGUGGGUAGCGAACAGGAUUAGAUACCCUGGUAGGUCAGUC
rnacentral:rRNA from 1 species